UGGGGAAUCUUGCACAAUGGGGGAAACCCUGAUGCAGCGACGCCGCGUGAACGAUGAAGCCCUUCGGGGUGUAAAGUUCUUUCGACGGGAACGAUAAUGACGGUACCCGGAGAAGAAGCUGCGGCUAACUACGUGCCAGCAGCCGCGGUAAUACGUAGGCAGCAAACGUUGUUCGGAAUUACUGGGCGUAAAGAGUGUGUAGGCGGUUCUGCAAGUUUGGUGUGAAAUCUCCCGGCUUAACUGGGAGGGUGCGCCGAAAACUGCAAGGCUAGAGUACUGGAGAGGAAAGCGGAAUUCCUGGUGUAGCGGUGAAAUGCGUAGAUAUCAGGAGGAACACCGGUGGUGUAGACGGCUUUCUGGACAGUAACUGACGCUGAGACACGAAAGCGUGGGGAGCAAACAGGAUUAGAUACCCGCGUAGUCC
rnacentral:rRNA from 1 species